rnacentral:rRNA from 1 species
UGGGGAAUUUUGGACAAUGGGGGAAACCCUGAUCCAGCCAUCCCGCGUGUGCGAUGAAGGCCUUCGGGUUGUAAAGCACUUUUGGCAGGAAAGAAACGUCAUGGGUUAAUACCCCGUGAAACUGACGGUACCUGCAGAAUAAGCACCGGCUAACUACGUGCCAGCAGCCGCGGUAAUACGUAGGGUGCAAGCGUUAAUCGGAAUUACUGGGCGUAAAGCGUGCGCAGGCGGUUCGGAAAGAAAGAUGUGAAAUCCCAGAGCUCAACUUUGGAACUGCAUUUUUAACUACAGGGCUAGAGUGUGUCAGAGGGAGGUGGAAUUCCGCAUGUAGCAGUGAAAUGCGUAGAUAUGCGGAGGAACACCGAUGGCGAAGGCAGCCUCCUGGGAUAACACUGACGCUCAUGCACGAAAGCGUGGGGAGCAAACAGG